GACGUAGGGCGCGAGCGUUGUCCGGAUUUAUUGGGCGUAAAGAGCUCGUAGGCGGCUUGUUACGUCGACUGUGAAAACCCGCGGCUCAACUGCGGGCCUGCAGUCGAUACGGGCAGGCUAGAGUUCGGUAGGGGAGACUGGAAUUCCUGGUGUAGCGGUGAAAUGCGCAGAUAUCAGGAGGAACACCGGUGGCGAAGGCGGGUCUCUGGGCCGUUACUGACGCUGAGGAGCGAAAGCGUGGGGAGCGAACAGG
rnacentral:rRNA from 1 species